rnacentral:lncRNA from 1 species
CUUCACUGUUGGAGAUGUGGGAGUCCGGAAGGAAAGAGAAGUGAACCAAAGGGAGACAAAGGAGGCACGGGAUGGCUCAUGGAAGCUGAUUAACAGGCAAUAAGCGACUCCUGUAUGCCAAGCACUGAGGACAUGAAACCAGAGAAGAAGAGGCCCUGCCCUCAAGGAGCUGACCGUUGGAGUGGGAUGAAGAAAUUGAGGCUGACAGACCAAGUGACUUGUCCAGAGGGUCCCAUAAGCCACUAAGUGUGUAAGGUAGGACUGGAAAACAAGCUGCUCUACCACCUCGGUGCCUCAAGGGUUCGUGAAGGAGAUUGCAUGGGGAAUCAAUGAUAACACCUGGGUGGUAAAGCUGAGUACCCGGGAAGAUGGUGC